UGGGGAAUAUUGGACAAUGGGCGAAAGCCUGAUCCAGCCAUGCCGCGUGAGUGACGAAGGCCUUCGGGUCGUAAAGCUCUGUCGGAGGGAACGAAUGCUCUUGAGGUUAAUAGCCUCGGGAGGUGACGGUACCCUCAAAGGAAGCACCGGCUAACUCUGUGCCAGCAGCCGCGGUAAUACAGAGGGUGCAAGCGUUGUUCGGAAUCAUUGGGCGUAAAGGGCGUGUAGGCGGUUUGUUAAGUCAUGUGUGAAAUCCCUCGGCUCAACCGGGGAACGACGCAUGAAACUGGCAAGCUAGAGUACCAAAGAGGAUGGUGGAAUUCCCAGUGUAGAGGUGAAAUUCGUAGAUAUUGGGAGGAACAUCGGUGGCGAAGGCGUCCAUCUGGAUGAAGACUGACACUGAGGCGCGAAAGCGUGGGGAGCAAACAGGAUUAGAUACCCAAGUAGUCCCUGAGCGGGCUGGCAAGGCGC
rnacentral:rRNA from 1 species